rnacentral:lncRNA from 1 species
GAAUUAAAGAAAAACAUUCCGUUGUUUUAUUAAUGCUAAGAGGAAAAACGUCUCUCGUUUGUUUAGCGCGAAAGCAAACAUCACAACUAUCAAUCUUGCCCAAAUCUUGCAAAGAUUGUUGACAUUCCGGUAAAGAAAGUAAAACACUAGUAGAGGGAUGGCCUAAUCUUCGAUGCCACAAGGCUGCAGAUGAUGAAUGAUCGGAUGUAGCUUUGUUGGACCGAGCAGCCAGAAUACCCGUAAAAUAGUACACUCCCUCACGUUCUUCCCCCGCCCCAAUCAAAGUCCUCGAAAAACGGUCAUGUAAGAAACACAAUGUGUCAGUGAAUAUCGCAAUCGAGCCUGUUUGUUUAAGAAGUUUUGAAACAGAGAUCAAUGUGCAAUCAAAAUCAGGAACAAAAAGGACAUCUCGAAGCGUAUAAGUGGAGCUAAGAGGAAGCGUGCCACGUUUAAUGGCUCGGGAAGCAGUCCCAUCUGGCUUUGUUACGGCCGAGGGAAUGAUAUCACAUACGUCAUGUAAAAUAGAACAAUCGCCUGUCAUAUGAUGCGAAGCACCCGUGUCAAGAAUCACAUCAGUAAGACAAGUUUUACCCGAUAACCGUUCAGAGGAGACGUUGGGACGCUGUGCCUGGAGAAGUGAGAUCAAUUGAGAAAUUUGAUCAGUGCUAGAGGAAGACGAAACAUCAGCCUGAGCAGCGUGAACCUUCCCACGUCCACGACCGUUUCCUCUAUUGGAGCGACCGCCGCGUUGAGAAUUCUUAUUGUCAGACCGUG